GACGACGCUGGCGGCGAGCUUAACACAUGCAAGUCGAACGAGUGGCGGACGGGUGAGUAAUGUAUGGGGAUCUGCCCGCUAGAGGGGGAUAACUCCUGGAACCGGUGGCUAAUACCGCAUACUAUAGGAUGAACCCAUAUGGGAUUAGCUAGUAGGUGGGGUAAAGGCUCGACUAGGCGACGAUCCCUAUCUGGUCUGAGAGUAGGAUCAGCCAGACUGGGACUGAGACACGGCCCAGACUCCUACGGAAGGCAGCAGUGGGGAAUAUUGCACAAUGGGCGCAAGCCUGAUACAGCCAUGCCGCGUGUAUGAAGAAGGCCUUAGGGUUGUAAAGUACUUUCAGCGGGGAGGCGUUACCCGCAGAAGAAGCACCGGCUAACUCCGUGCCAGCAGCCGCGGUAAUAC
rnacentral:rRNA from 1 species